UACGGAGGGUGCGAGCGUUGUCCGGAAUCACUGGGCGUAAAGGGCGCGUAGGUGGCCUGUGGAAGUCUGCGGUGAAAGCCCGGCGCUCAACGCCGGGUCUGCCGUGGAUACUCUCGGGCUUGAGCUUACUAGAGGCAGAUGGAAUUCCGGGUGUAGCGGUGGAAUGCGUAGAUAUCGGGAAGAACACCCGUGGCGAAGGCGGCACUCUGGGACGGUACUGACGCUGAGACGCGAAAGCGUGGGGAGCGAACAGG
rnacentral:rRNA from 1 species